UAUGUGAGCAAGAUGCUCUUUCUGCACCUUGUGCCACAUAUUCAGCCCUGGGAACAGAUGUACAAGAACAAGGCUUAGGUGGAAUUGACACCUCAUACCGUCAAGAUAGGGUAAUGUGACUUUGAGCAGAGAACAUAAACAGUGUGGCUCAGCUCAGAAGGUCACUCCUCUGGGGGGAAAAAAAGCAUGUGUGGGAACACCCAUUCUGCCUGAUUGCUGCUGCUUCUACUUGCUUCAGCAGUGGGAGAGAAUAGCACAUUAUGCCAGUACCAAGAGAUCACCAACAAGAACAGUAGCAGCUGUGGAGUGGAGCUAACCUGAGCCUAGGAGACAAUGAUCAUAAGGGGGGUGUCCAAGGUAUUGAAUGCACAGCCGACUGGAAGGAUGAAGCAGAGUAUGGAACAGGUACAGGUUAACUAACACCUGGGUAGAGAACAUCAAAAUAUGCCAUCCAAAUGAACACUUGUUAUAAGGAACAGAGGAGAGAGAACUUCUCAUUCACCCCUGACAUAUUCAUGAGAGAGUUACAGUUUGGUUUUGAAAAAUGGAACAAAGGCAAGAACUGUGCAUAUGCAGAUGUGAUGUCAUUCUCACAUCAUCAAAACUGGGAGAAAAUAUUUAUGCUGCUGAUUUACAGAAUUCACUCAUUUUGGUUUUGGAAGUCAAAGAGAUGCUCUCCAAAAUAGACUACUGCCAUUGUCCUUGGCUGCCUAUCAGGACCUGAAGGUUGGAGACCUGAUAUGAGACAAAAUGGCUGAAGUGGAACGUCUUGGAGAGGAGGCUCUUGGUCAUUACAAAGUGGUUGGCAGCAGAUGUCCUGGGAGCCCCAAGCUCCUCACAAUCUCUUCAGCCUCCAACCUCCUGUGACCCUCCUACUUUCCUGGCACUGGAACAUGGAACACACAGCCAAUAGCCUCAUGAAGGAUGAAGACAUUUUAGGAAGGGGCCAAGGACAAAAUAUUUUUCUACAAGCUUGCCUAAAAGAGACCCAUCCCCUUCAGGUGAGGGUGUGAAAGCCAGAAGUCAACAUGAUGGGGUAGGUUUCUCUCUUUCCACCAUGUAGGUCCCUUGUCUGAUACCCAGGUCCUCCAGCUUGGUGCCAGAGAGGUACCUGUUCUCCCUGGAGAAAGACUUGCCAUUUCUCUCUGGUAAGCUAAAUCUAUGGGUGCAUAUUUCAUGUCCUUGGUUUUUCUUUAAAUUAUAGCAAAUUUAACACUGCUUCAGGCAAGGUAUAGUAAGACUGAAAAUGUCUCUGUCCCCAGUUCUUUCAAAACUCUGGAACAAAAAUCUGUUUUCCCUGUUUCUUUCUCUAUAUUGCCAUUUUUUAUAAAUGCAGGUGAGCGUUUGAACUCAGAGCCCCACCUUGUGGCUUAGGACUCCAGUAAGAUGAGGAUUUAUGUGCAUUUCCUGCUAUCCUUGGAAAGGUUUUUCACCAGACUUUGAUUUGUAGGAGUUUUGCUCUUGUGUUUACAGGAUCUCCCUAUGCAGAUCAAGCAAACCUGGAAUUCACAGAGAUCUGCCUGACUCUGUCUCACCAGUGCUGGGAUUAAAGGUGUCUAUGUUUGUGCAGAUGACUCAAAAUCCAGAAGAAGAUGCUAGUUCCCCUUGAGCUGGAGUUACAGGCAGUUUUACAAGUGAUAUUUGAUACUGCCACUGUCACAAAGUACUCAGGAUCAAAAGAUAAAUGGGUGGAAUUAGAAGAGAUCACACUGAGUGAGAUAAUCCAGAUUCCGAAAGACAAGGAUCACAUUUGCUCUCAUUUGUGGCUCCUAAUUCCAAAAAUUCAAGUGAAUGAUGGUGCUCAUCUGAAAUUCAAGCUGUACCGGAGGUUGAUGGAGGAUAGCAAAGUUGGGGCCAGUUUGAACAACUUGGUUGUGAUAGAAUGUAGCCAAAGGAAACAUCUGUGGAGUAGGAUGCCUAUCCCCCUCCCUUUUAUUUGAAUCCUCCAAACUGGUUUCUACAGUGACUGCCCGAGUUCCCAAUGUGAAAACAUAUGGACAUAAGCCAAGAAAAUCAAAGCAUACCUACAGUAACCACAUGGCUCCAUUGGCUGAAAUGUUGUGUGGCUCAGAGACAGGAAAGAAAGGCAAGGGCAGUGCUUCUCUAAGAGAAAGUUCUCGGAGAUAGGCCCCAAAGACCUGCUGGCACAACAGAAAGGAACAUUUCAAGAAUCAGUCAUCAAAGGACUCCAAAAAUGGAAGGAUGAAGUUGUCAGUUCAGGGAAAUCAAGACAGCACCACUGUAUGUGAACAUGAGGGCAAGUGCUUGAGGAGGACAGAGGUAUCACACACACCCUGGACGUGGUAUUGCAGCCAGUUGAGAGCGUCCCGAUGUGGAUGCUGGGAACCAAGCUCAGGUCUUCUACAAGAGGAGCAAAUGCUGUUACACACUGAGCUCGCUCCAGCCCUGUACACUUCUGUUCCAGGGUUUCACACAAGCACGCAAUGUGUAUUGAUCAAAUUCCCUCCCUUCCCCGCUCCCAUCCUCCUCACCACUUUCCCUCUGAAUUUCAUGAGCUCUUAUUUUUUAAUACACUGACUUCACUUAAUACUGCCUGUAUGGACAUCGAUGCAGAACCACCUACAAGGGCAUGAAUAGGCUCUCAGGAGCAGUAUCCUUGAAGAAAACUGAUUCUUUCUCCCCAAGUAGCCAUCAAUUUCAAUAGCUUCGCAGCCAGAGUGGAACUUUAGAAACAGCGAGGAUGACUUGUUUGAUUUUAUGCAGGGCUCGUGCAUGUAGCCACAACCACUGAGAGUUCGUGUGUGCAAUGGUGCUAUCAUAACUGGCAAAUAGUUUUUCACAGCAUAUGUCUACUAUCUCUGGCUCUUACCAUCAGUCUACUCUGUAUUUUGAUUUUGUGCCAAUAUUAUAAAUGAUAGUCAGCAGUGAAUAAUUGUUGGGAAGGGUACUAAGAGAUUAGAGAUAGCUAGAUAAGUAUUAAUAAUAAGGUCACAAAAUUUAAAGAAUUGAAAUUUAAAAUGAAACUUAUAUUAGCAUUAAUUAUUUUUAAGGCAAGAAAAUAGAUUAUAUGAAUUCAUUUAGCUUAAGCAUAUAUGUGUUUAAAAAUAUUACAGAAGUGCACUAUAAUAUCUGAGGUCUUCACAUUCCCUUACCAGUGACUCAUUCCCUCAUCCAGGGCAAUUUCUAGUCCUUAAAGCCUCAUUCUUGGUAUUAUUUAACAGACACACUAUUUAUUUAGCCAUCCACCUUGUGGCUUUGCUCUAUCUUUUCUAUGUUCAGGUACAUGAAUACUUGCCAUUUUAUUACAGUUUCCCACUGUAUUCAGGAAAGUAGCAUGCUGUAGAAAUUUAUGACCUGAGAGCUAUAGAAUAAUAUACAUCCUGUAACCUUGGUAUGUAGCAGAGCUGGAGCAUCUAAAUUUCUGUAAGCCCAUGCUGUCAUUUUCAAAAUGAUGAAUGUGCCUGAUAACAUUUUCAAGAGCAUAUCUCCUUUGUUAAAUGAUUUAUGUAUCACAUUUUUUAAAAAUACAUAAAAACAUUUUUGUUGAACUG
ensembl:processed_transcript Platr21 pluripotency associated transcript 21